rnacentral:rRNA from 1 species
UACGUAGGGGGCAAGCGUUGUCCGGAAUCAUUGGGCGUAAAGAGCGUGUAGGCGGCCCGGUAAGUCCGCUGUGAAAGUCCAGGGCUCAACCCUGGGAUGCCGGUGGAUACUGUCGGGCUAGAGUCCGGAAGAGGAGUGUGGAAUUCCUGGUGUAGCGGUGAAAUGCGCAGAUAUCAGGAGGAACACCAAUGGCGAAGGCAGCACUCUGGGACGGUACUGACGCUGAGACGCGAAAGCGUGGGGAGCGAACAGG